UACGUAGGGGGCGAGCGUUGUCCGGAGUUACUGGGCGUAAAGCGCACGCAGGCGGUCGCUUAAGUUUGGGGUGACAGCUGUCGGCUUAACCGGCAGAGUGCCUCAAAGACUGGGUGACUUGAGGGCCAAAGAGGGACAUGGAACUCCAGGUGUAGUGGUGAAAUGCGUAGAUAUCUGGAAGAACACCAAAGGCGAAGGCAGUGUCCUGGUUGGUACCUGACGCUCAGGUGCGAAAGCUAGGGGAGCGAACGG
rnacentral:rRNA from 1 species